rnacentral:tRNA from 1 species
GGAAUUGUAGCUCAGUGGUAGAGCACUCGGCUGAUAACCGAGCGGUCACAAGUUCAAAUCUUGUCGAUUCCA